AGAGUUUGAUCAUGGCUCAGGAUGAACGCUGGCGGCGUGCCUAACACAUGCAAGUCGAGCGAUCUUCUUCGGAAGAGAGCGGCGGACGGGUGAGUAACACGUGGGUAACCUGCCUCAUACACAUGGAUAACAUACCGAAAGGUAUGCUAAUACAAGAUGAUAUAAGAGAUUCGCAUGGAUUUCUUAUCAAAGCCCCGGCGGUAUGAGAUGGACCCGCGUCUGAUUAGCUAGUUGGUAAGGUAAUGGGCUUACCAAGGCGACGAUCAGUAGCCGACCUGAGAGGGUGAUCGGCCACAUUGGAACUGAGACACGGUCCAAACUCCUACGGGAGGCAGCAGUGGGGAAUAUUGCACAAUGGGCGAAAGCCUGAUGCAGCAACGCCGCGUGAGCGAUGAAGGCCUUCGGGUCGUAAAGCUCUGUCCUCAAGGAAGAUAAUGACGGUACUUGAGGAGGAAGCCCCGGCUAACUACGUG
rnacentral:rRNA from 1 species